rnacentral:rRNA from 1 species
AUUGAACGCUGGCGGCAUGCUUUACACAUGCAAGUCGAACGGCAGCGCGGGCUUCGGCCUGGCGGCGAGUGGCGAACGGGUGAGUAAUGCAUCGGAACGUGCCCAGUAGUGGGGGAUAGCCCGGCGAAAGCCGGAUUAAUACCGCAUACGACCUGAGGGUGAAAGCGGGGGACCGAAAGGCCUCGCGCUAUUGGAGCGGCCGAUGUCGGAUUAGCUAGUUGGUGGGGUAAAGGCUCACCAAGGCGACGAUCCGUAGCCGGUCUGAGAGGACGACCAGCCACACUGGGACUGAGACACGGCCCAGACUCCUACGGGAGGCAGCAGUGGGGAAUUUUGGACAAUGGGGGCAACCCUGAUCCAGCCAUGCCGCGUGCGGGAAGAAGGCCUUCGGGUUGUAAACCGCUUUUGUUAGGGAAGAAAUCCUCUGGGCUAAUACCCCGGGGGGAUGACGGUACCGGAAGAAUAAGCACCGGCUAACUACGUG